rnacentral:rRNA from 1 species
UUCUGGUCUUGCUAUUGGAAUGAGUAAAAUUUAAAUCUCUUUACGACUAUCAAUUGGAGGGCAAGUCUGGUGCCAGCAGCCGCGGUAAUUCCAGCUCCAAUAGCGUAUAUUAAAGUUGUUGCGGUUAAAAAGCUCGUAGUUGGAUUUCUGCUGAGGACGACCGGUCCGCCCUCUGGGUGAGUAUCUGGCUCGGCCUUGGCAUCUUCUUGGAGAACGUAACUGCACUUGACUGUGUGGUGCGGUAUUCAGGACUUUUACUUUGAGGAAAUUAGAGUGUUUCAAGCAGGCGCAUGCCUUGAAUACAUUAGCAUGGAAUAAUGAGAUAGGACCUUGGUUCUAUUUUGUUGGUUUCUAGAGCUGAGGUAAUGAUUAAUAGGGAUAGUUGGGGGCAUUCGUAUUCAACUGUCAGAGGUGAAAUUCUCGGAUUUGUUAAAGACGGACUACUGCGAAAGCAUUUGCCAAGGAUGUUUUCAUUGAUCAAGAACGAAAGUUAGGGGAUUGAAGACGAUCAGAUACCGUCCUAGUCUUAACCAUAAACCAUGCCGACUAGAGAUUGGAGGUCGUUAUCUAUACGACUCCUUCAGCACCUUAUGAGAAAUC